CUCCAGUGGCGAAGGCGGCUGUCUGGUCUGUACCUGACGCUGAGGCUCGAAAGUAUGGGUAGCAAACAGGAUUAGAUACCCUGGUAGUCCAUACCGUAAACGAUGAAUGCUAAGUGUUGGAGGGUAUCCGCCCUUCAGUGCUGCAGCUAUCGCAGUAAGCAUUCCGCCUGGGGAGUACGGCCGCAAGGCUGAAACUCAAAGGAAUUGACGGGGGCCCGCACAAGCGGUGGAGCAUGUGGUUUAAUUCGAAGCUACGCGAAGAACCUUACCAGGUCUUGACAUACUAUGCAAAUCUAAGAGAUUAGACGUUCCCUUCGGGGACAUGGAUACAGGUGGUGCAUGGUUGUCGUCAGCUCGUGUCGUGAGAUGUUGGGUUAAGUCCCGCAACGAGCGCAACCCUUAUUAUCAGUUGCCAGCAUUAAGUUGGGCACUCUGGUGAGACUGCCGGUGUCACACCGGAGGAAGGUGGGGAUGACGUCAAAUCAUCAUGCCCCUUAUGACCUGGGCUACACACGUGCUACAAUGGAUGGUACAACGAGUUGCGAACUCGCGAGAGUAAGCUAAUCUCUUAAAGCCAUUCUCAGUUCGGAUUGUAGGCUGCAACUCGCCUACAUGAAGUCGGAAUCGCUAGUAAUCGCGGAUCAGCAUGCCGCGGUGAAUACGUUCCCGGGCCUUGUACACACCGCCCGUCACACCAUGAGAGUU
rnacentral:rRNA from 2 species